AGUUUCAGACUUUCAGUCUCACUUUCUCACUCCCACCUCUCCACCGUCCCUCGACUCCGACGACAUCCCAGAAAACGCCCAUCAUCGCCGCUGCGACCAACACAACGGCACCACCACCACCCAUCCAGCCAUCCUCCGACCUCGAUGACAUCCGUUACUUCGCCGGCUACCGGGAUUUGCAAGAUUUGUGAACAUAAGAGAUCGAGGUGGUGCAACCUCAUUGCAUUUAGCUGCCCGCCAAUGACAGUCAGAGUGCGUUCAUGUUCUUUUAGACAAUGGGGCUCUUGUUUGUGCUUCAACUGGUGGAUAUGGCUACCCUGGAAGUACACCGCUUCACUUAGCUGCUCAUGGUGGAUCCUUAGAUUGUGUCAGAGAGUUGCUUGCUUGGGGAGCGGAUCGGCUUCCAAAAGACUCUUCUGGGUAACUUUCUUUAAUCUAUGAAUUUGGACGAUGUGUUGUUAUUUUGGACGAUGUAUUGUUAUUUUGGACGAUGUCAUGUAAUAUUGUUAUUUUGGACUCUCGGAAUUUGGAUGUGUUGUUAUUUUGGACGUUGGUAGUGCCGUAGUGGUUGAAUGAUAGAAUAUGUGCAAUUGCAAUA